GGAAUCGAGUGGCAAACGGGUGAGUAACGCGUAAACAACCUGCCCUUCGGAUGGGGAUAACAGCCGGAAACGGCUGCUAAUACCGAAUACGAUCUUUUCGUCGCAUGACGAAAAGAAGAAAGGAUGGCCUCUAUACAAAGCUAUCGCCGAAGGAGGGGUUUGCGUCUGAUUAGCUGGUUGGAGGGGUAACGGCCCAACAAGGCGAUGAUCAGUAGCCGGUCUGAGAGGAUGAACGGCCACAUUGGGACUGAGACACGGCCCAGACUCCUACGGGAGGCAGCAGUGGGGAAUCUUCCGCAAUGGACGAAAGUCUGACGGAGCAACGCCGCGUGAGUGAAGAAGGUCUUCGGAUUGUAAAGCUCUGUUAUACGGGACGAAAAAGACGGAUGCCAACAGUAUCCGUCCGUGACGGUACCGUAAGAGAAAGCCACGGCUAACUACGUGCCAGCAGCCGCGGUAAUACGUAGGUGGCAAGCGUUGUCCGGAAUUAUUGGGCGUAAAGGGCGCGCAGGCGGUUCGGUAAGUCUGUCUUAAAAGUGCGGGGCUUAACCCCGUGAGGGGACGGAAACUGUCGAACUUGAGUGUCGGAGAGGAAAGCGGAAUUCCUAGUGUAGCGGUGAAAUGCGUAGAUAUUAGGAGGAACACCGGUGGCGAAAGCGGCUUUCUGGA
rnacentral:rRNA from 1 species